rnacentral:lncRNA from 1 species
CAACAUCAUCACAUUAAAGAAAGACGUAUAUCAAGAUCUCAGUGGUCUUGCAGGCUGCUGGAACACAAGGUCCUGACACACUAUCCCAGGUGGACUCAGGUGUUCCCUAAGAGGGUACAAUGACCAGCUUGAGCUCUGCAAGUUAGAUCUUUAGAUUUUGGAUCAGAUUUAUUGCCUUCUCAAUUUCCAGUUUCUCUCAUUUCUAAGAGGAAUGGAACAUAUACUGAACUGAAUGACUUUGACAAAUGUAAUUCUAUAUGUUUUCUAUGAUAAUUCUACAUGCACUAUUUUAUAGCAGGUUCAUCCUUUUCACUACGCUUAUUUCGUCCCAAAAAAUUGGCCAAGCUCUGUUUAUCCCUACCCUAUUUUCUACAGUUUUCAUGACUUUAUAUCUCCGUCUGCUAUCUAUCAUACUGCUGCUCAGGUGGAGAAGAGCUGUAUUUUCUUGCAUCAAAGAUCCCCUUCUGGCAAUUUUGCGUUUCACAGAGAAAUUGCAUACAGGUGUCACAAGUGUAUCUGCCAAGUGCUUGUUCUGACUCCAGCUUCUGUUUGCACGCAUGGACUGACUAAACCCCUGGGGGUGUAAUGUGACUCACUGAACAAACCCUACAAUUAAAGAAGACUCAGGAGAUGAGCAAGGGCGAUGUGCCCAUGAAGCUCAGAGAAUAAUGCAGGGUGUGAAUGGCCACAGCUGCUGCAAAUAAGCUGACUAUGUCAAAACAAAGGGACCAGAGGGUGGCCUUUAUUUUAGAUUAUCAGCUAUCAACUGCUGAAUUGAUCGGAUGGUGGUGUGUUUCUCCCCGAGUUUAUUGAGUGUGAAUGUCUCCCUGAGUUAACCAGAUCUGCAUGGGGUGAGUGCAUACAUGGCUUAUCUCUACAUAGAGCACAUUAAACAACCAGCAAAAAAUUUCAAAGAGAGCAAUGGACUUGAGCUGGCUUCAACUUACAUAUUACUUCAGAGCGACCAGAAAUGUUCAGUAGAUAUUGCAAUUGUUAUAUUGUGAUCAUAUAGUGGUCUCAGUAAGUUGAAAUAUCACUUUUCUAAAUCAAAAUCCCCAUGUAAGAUCAAAU